rnacentral:rRNA from 1 species
AGAGUUUGAUCAUGGCUCAGGAUGAACGCUAGCGACAGGCUUAACACAUGCAAGUCGAGGGGCAGCGGGGCGGCAGGCUUGCCUGCCGUUGCCGGCGACCGGCGCACGGGUGAGUAACACGUAUGCAACCUGCCCGUGGCAGGGGGAUAAGCGGGGGAAACCCCGUCUAAUACCGCGUAACGCGGCCUAGGGACAUCCCAAGGCCGCCAAAGGGAGCAAUCCCGGCCACGGAUGGGCAUGCGGCGCAUUAGCUAGUCGGCGGGGUAACGGCCCACCGAGGCGACGAUGCGUAGGGGUUCUGAGAGGAAGGCCCCCCACACUGGUACUGAGACACGGACCAGACUCCUACGGGAGGCAGCAGUGAGGAAUAUUGGUCAAUGGGCGCGAGCCUGAACCAGCCAAGUCGCGUGAGGGAGGACGGCCCUACGGGUUGUAAACCUCUUUUGCCGGGGAGCAACGGGCGCCACGUGUGGCGCCACUG